ACCGGCAGCUCAAGUGGUGGCCAUUUUUAUUGGGCCUAAAGCGUUCGUAGCCGGUUUGAUAAGUCUCUGGUGAAAUCCCGCAGCUUAACUGUGGGACUUGCUGGAGAUACUAUUAGACUUGAGGUCGGGAGAGGUUAGGGGUACUCCCAGGGUAGGGGUAAAAGGCUAGAAUCCGGGGAGGACCACCUGUGGCGAGGGCCGCUAACUGGAACGAACCCGACGGUGAGUAACGAAACUGAGGGGCGCGAACCC
rnacentral:rRNA from 1 species